GACGAACCGUGCGAACGUUAUUCGGAAUCACUGGGCUUAAGGGCGCGUAGGCGGGCCACCAAGUCCGGGGUGAAAUCCUCCGGCUUAACCGGAGAAUUGCCUGGGAUACUGGUGGUCUUGAGGGAGGUAGGGGCACGCGGAACUUCCGGUGGAGCGGUGAAAUGCGUUGAUAUCGGAAGGAACGCCGGUGGCGAAAGCGGCGUGCUGGCCCUCUUCUGACGCUGAGGCGCGAAAGCCAGGGGAGCGAACGGG
rnacentral:rRNA from 1 species